rnacentral:rRNA from 1 species
AGCGAACGCUGGCGGCAGGCUUAUCACAUGCAAGUCGAGCGGGCACUUUCGGGUGUCAGCGGCGGACGGGUGAGUAACGCGUGGGAACGUGCCCUCUGGUUCGGAAUAACUCAGGGAAACUUGAGCUAAUACCGGAUACGCCCUUUUGGGGAAAGGCUUGCUGCCGGAGGAUCGGCCCGCGUCUGAUUAGCUGGUUGGUGAGGUAACGGCUCACCAAGGCGACGAUCAGUAGCUGGUCUGAGAGGAUGAUCAGCCACACUGGGACUGAGACACGGCCCAGACUCCUACGGGAGGCAGCAGUGGGGAAUAUUGGACAAUGGGCGCAAGCCUGAUCCAGCCAUGCCGCGUGAGUGAUGAAGGCCUUAGGGUUGUAAAGCUCUUUUAUCCGGGACGAUAAUGACGGUACCGGAGGAAUAAGCCCCGGCUAACUUCGUG